UGGGCGGUGGAGAAGGGGAUGAGGAGCUGAGCUUCGCUGAGGCAAUGGGCUGGAAUGCCGCGGCCCGUCUCGAUAGACGGGCCGUGGGUGGAGUGAGGAAGCCGUUGACGGUCGACAUUGCUUCGAUAGGCCACAGAUGGUGAAAAACUGGCUUAUGGAAUAGAUUGCGCCGGUGCAGGACGAGAAAAGUGCAGGAGAUGAUAAUUGGUGAUGAAGAAGGGCACCCGAGCUAGAUGGAGGCGGAUAAAAGAUGUUGGAAAAAUGAUAAGGUAGAAGGGUAUUAGAGUACAAAGCGAAGUCGGAGGGUAAUAUUUUAAUAUGAAUGAGUUAUUAUACUUAAUAAAUAGUUUGUUAGCACUAUAUUUUUUUAAUUAGUUGACCUAAUUAUAUAA